UACGUAGGGGGCUAGCGUUGCUCGGAAUCACUGGGCGUAAAGCGCACGUAGGCGGCUUGCUAAGUCAGGGGUGAAAUCCUGGAGCUCAACUCCAGAACUGCCUUUGAUACUGGCGAUCUUGAGUCCGGGAGAGGUGAGUGGAACUGCGAGUGUAGAGGUGAAAUUCGUAGAUAUUCGCAAGAACACCAGUGGCGAAGGCGGCUCACUGGCCCGGUACUGACGCUGAGGUGCGAAAGCGUGGGGAGCAAACAGG
rnacentral:rRNA from 1 species